rnacentral:rRNA from 1 species
GACGUAGGGCGCGAGCGUUGUCCGGAUUUAUUGGGCGUAAAGAGCUCGUAGGCGGCUCGUUGCGUCGGCUGUGAAAACCCGCAGCUCAACUGUGGGCUUGCAGCUGGAUACGGGCGGGCGUGGGAUUCGGUAGGGGAGACUGGAAUUCCUGGUGUAGCGGUGAAAUGCGCAGAUAUCAGGAGGAACACCGGUGGGCGAAGGCGGGU